GAUAGUGAAGGACCAUAGCUCAGCAGCAGAGCAUCUGAUUUUGCAUUCAGAAGGUCCCAGGUUCAACCCCUGCUGCUAUCU